GGUUACUGCUAUCGAGGUUCGACUAAGCCAUGCGAGUCGAAUGUAGCAAUACAUGGCGUACUGCUCAGUAACACGUGGACAACCUGCCCUUAGGACGGGUAUAAACCCGGGAAACUGGGUAUAAUUCCCGAUAGGUCUCGUCUGCUGGAAUGCAUCGAGAUCCAAAGCUCCGGCGCCUAAGGAUGGGUCUGCGGCCUAUCAGGUAGUAGUGGGUGUAGCGUACCUACUAGCCUACAACGGGUACGGGUUGUGAGAGCAAGAGCCCGGAGAUGGAUUCUGAGACACUAAUCCAGGCCCUACGGGGUGCAGCAGGCGCGAAAACUUUACAAUGCUGGGAACAGCGAUAAGGGAACCUCGAGUGCCAGGUUACAAAUCUGGCUGUCGUGAUGCCUAAAAAGCAUUAUAUAGCAAGGGCCGGGCAAGACCGGUGCCAGCCGCCGCGGUAACACCGGCGGCUCGAGUGGUAACCGUUAUUAUUGGGUCUAAAGGGUCUGUAGCCGGCCGGAUAAGUCUCUUGGGAAAUCUGGCAGCUUAACUGUCAGGCUUUCAGGGGAUACUGUCUGGCUCGAGGCCGGGAGAGGUGAGAGGUACUUCAGGGGUAGGGGUGAAAUCUUGUAAUCCUUGAAGGACCACCAGUGGCGAAGGCGUCUCACCAGAACGGACCUGACGGCAAGGGACGAAAGCUAGGGGCACGAACCGGAUUAGAUACCCGG
rnacentral:rRNA from 1 species